AGGGUGAGGCCGGAUCCUGGGCUGUGUCUGGGCGCCCAGUGCUCCGGGGCCUGCGCUGUUGGAUUCGCCCCCAAGCCGCUGCCCGAGCCCCU
rnacentral:pre_miRNA from 1 species